rnacentral:rRNA from 1 species
GGCUCAGAUUGAACGCUGGCGGCAGGCUUAACACAUGCAAGUCGAGCGGAGUGAUGGUGCUUGCACUAUCACUUAGCGGCGGACGGGUGAGUAAUGCUUAGGAAUCUGCCUAUUAGUGGGGGACAACAUUUCGAAAGGAAUGCUAAUACCGCAUACGUCCUACGGGAGAAAGCAGGGGAUCUUCGGACCUUGCGCUAAUAGAUGAGCCUAAGUCGGAUUAGCUAGUUGGUGGGGUAAAGGCCUACCAAGGCGACGAUCUGUAGCGGGUCUGAGAGGAUGAUCCGCCACACUGGGACUGAGACACGGCCCAGACUCCUACGGGAGGCAGCAGUGGGGAAUAUUGGACAAUGGGCGCAAGCCUGAUCCAGCCAUGCCGCGUGUGUGAAGAAGGCCUUAUGGUUGUAAAGCACUUUAAGCGAGGAGGAGGCUACUUUAGUUAAUACCUAGAGAUAGUGGACGUUACUCGCAGAAUAAGCACCGGCUAACUCUGUGCCAGCAGCCGCGGUAAUACAGAGGGUGCAAGCGUUAAUCGGAUUUACUGGGCGUAAAGCGCGCGUAGGCGGCUAAUUAAGUCAAAUGUGAAAUCCCCGAGCUUAACUUGGGAAUUGCAUUCGAUACUGGUUAGCUAGAGUGUGGGAGAGGAUGGUAGAAUUCCAGGUGUAGCGGUGAAAUG